rfam:Eutrema salsugineum unplaced genomic scaffold scaffold_22, whole genome shotgun sequence.
AAGCGAAGGACCCAGCAGGGAAGCGAGUAUGCUCAUGAAAUGAGGCUUCUCUAACAAUUUAUUUAACCUUCGUAGAUUGAGUCUCCAAGGAUUCUUUGAUGCUCUGCUGUUUUUUCAGCUAUCGUCUUGUGUUCUUGGUGUAUAGUU